rnacentral:lncRNA from 1 species
GUCAAUAUAGGAUAUUUUUAUCUACCAUUGCAGUCUACAUCACUUCGGUAUUAACCAUCUCAAGCUAAAAUAUGCCAGACCAUUUGGGCCUUCGUAUAAUGAUGUUGUGAUUUAUUGCACUCUCAGUUUCCAUCCUGCAGCAAUUACCAGAAGAGCUGAUAAUGGUCUGCAAUUUGUUUUCCAGAACUGGGAGUAGCUGCCAGCAAGAGCCGCUCGCAGGGAAAGGUAGUGGCUGUUUACCUGGAUUGCUCAGCCAGACCAGGGAGGACAGACGCAAAUUCAUCCCCUGGACUAUGCCAUUGGCUCUGAAAGCAUCCAAGACCCACUUGCGUUCUCCAACAGAAGACAGUGACACGACACAAAUGGUAGCACAAGGCUCUUACCAUUCCAUUCAAUAAGUGAGUCUCCAUGGAUGGAUUACAACUCCAAAGAGAGUUGCAAAGAGAGGACAGAAAGAGUGGAAUUAUGCUCCCAAGAAGAAAAAUCCAGAGUAAGAGCACUGGUUUAAUAGACAUAUUUUGGAUUUACACUGGCAUCUUGAAAGCAGAAUCGUCCCCUGUAGAUGUGGCAGUAUCACUGUAGCUCUCUCCAGGUAACACACAACCCUUGUUUUUUUCUGAGUGCAGUGUCUGAUUGCAAUGAUUUCUAUGGAUCCAUUCACUGUGUAAAUGACACAUUUAAAAAAAAAAAUGGGUGAAUGCCCACUUAGUUUUCACAACUGCCCACAGAGGUUGUGAAGGCUUGAUAUACUCUAUUGAGUAAAUAACCAUAAAUAAAGCAGGCUGUUAAAAAUCUUUAACUAUGCA